UGUGUGUGUGUAGGUGGAGAUGUUGUCAUGGCGACGGUCUGGAUCACACAAACAGUGGGAAAUUCUUUGGAACUUUCAGGAAGCAAACAGAACGUCAGCUGAGAGACCAGACCCCGGUCUGACUGUGUGUGUGUGUGUGUGUGUGUGUGUGUGUGUGUGUGUGUGUAGGUUCCUGGCCAAUGGCAGGAUGUCAAGUGUUUCCAAUCCUGUUGUGGAGGAUGAAGCUCCGCCCACUUCUUCUGCCACAACAGCACACUCUAAUAGACACACACAGAGGAGGAAGAAGGUGCGAAGAAUCCCUGCUGAGGUGACUGGAGAGCAGGCCCCGCCCCCUGCCCCGCCCCCUGCCCCGCCCACAGAUCUCAGCUCCGUGGGCCAGCGGCUCCCGUUCCCAGCAUGCUCUCUGAGGGCCACCCCGGGUCCCCCCGGCCCCCCCCGGGCCCCCCGGGCCCCCCGGCCCCGUUCAGGCCGCCGCCCCCCCUGCUGAGUACCACUCGGACUCGGCCGAGUCCCUGGAGGAGAUCCCGGUGGCCCUGGCCAAGCUGGGCUCCACUGCACAGCGAGUCCUCCAGGCCUUCCCCCGGCCCCCCCUCCGGGGGCCCCCCUCCCUCUGGGGGCCCCCCUCCCCCCAGCCCAGGACUAAAAGGAAGGGGGCCUCCUCCCGCCUGCACAGAAACAGUGUGGUCUUCGUGACCCGGGCCAGCGGGGCCCCUGCUGAGUCCCGGGAGGAGGUCCUGGUCCCGGGAUCCAGAACCAGACCCUCCAGGUUGGGAUCCCAGACCUCCCUGGGUUUAGGUGCAGCCCCGUGGACGGAGCACUAAGACCAGGUCAGACCAGGAGAGACCAGGUCAGACCAGGUCAGACCAGGAGAGACCAGGUCAGACCAGGAGAGAUCAGGUCAGACCAGGAGAGACCAGGAAAGACCAGGAGAGAUCA